UGCGAGAGGCCCAGAUCCCAGCCGCGCUCCUCUGAAGUCUGAACACAAGCGCGCUAUCUCACCCUGGCCACACAAACCUAAACCUAAACCUAAAUCGCCCACCAGCCGCCGCCACCCUUCAUCUCCGUCGAUUCGGUCAUGCCGCUGCACGUCCCACCGUCGCCCGCGCCACACGAAGCUCCCAUCCAGCCCGCGGUGCAGCCCCACCACCAGCAGCCUGAGGUGACGCCCCGUCGUCAGCUCAUCCAGCGACCGACGCCGCCGUGUGCCGAUUCGGUCGCGCCGCUGCGCCUCCACCGCCGGCGGCGCCACGCCGCCACCCGAAGCUCUUGCCCAGCCCGUGGUGCAUCCCGACGUGUCGCCCUGGCGACGGCCGACGUGCUUACCAAUUUGAGCGGUUGCUUCUCCGACUGCCGUUAGUGCCCCCCAAAGCUUCCUUCCACCCCGUGGUGCUUCCAUCCACAGCCAAGGAGCCGCACAACCCCCUGCAUCCCGAGGUGCCACCCAGCCGUCCCUCUUCCACCUCCAGUGAUGGCUCCCCUAUCCCCCCUUGUCAUGCCCUCCUUUGCAUCUAACUGUUGCAUCCUGUAGCGUCUUCAAUUGAAUCUAUGUACAUAGGGAAAACUCCACAAGAGGCUUCUGAAGUUUGGUCAACGCCUACAUGAGGACCAACCUAUAGCUCGUAUGUGCCGCUGGAUAAGGCCAUGUCUUUCGUGGGUGGUGCUUGGCUGAUUUGUACAUGGAUACUAUUAAAGAAUGGUACAAACAUAUAUGGAUUAUGAAAGGUUGAUCCAAGCCAGCUUCAGAAUGAGCUCAAGGCAUACAGGAAGACCGAGGAGGGGAUGAACACACUUUUGAACCACUACCUCCAUUUCUGUGGAGUUUCUCUCAAGGUCAGCUUAACCAAUUCCAUUCUGAAAAUCAUGCCGCAUAUAUUCACUUCUCGUCGAUUCACAAAAAGAAACAAAAAAUGAACUUACAUAUGCAAGCUGAAAUGCUGGUGAUCGUGAAGAACAGUCCUGUGAAUGGCAUCAUCAAGCUCAUCGAACAGCAUCACAUCACAAACCAUGUCACGGGAACAUCUUCCUUCUCACCGUGUGUCCAGACCAAAUACAGCUUCGUAACAAGGUUUCAUCGAUAAACAUGCACAUAAAAAUUGUUCGUGGACUUCUAUAUAUAUAUUUAGGUAGGAGGUCCUAUUCUUUAAGGAUCUAUUUUAUCCGCUUGUUCAUUGUAAAUAUUGAUUUGUGCACCAAACUUGAGUCAUGCCUUGUUCCAACUGAGGCAUCCCUGCACUAUGCAUAUACGUGAUUUUGUUUUACUGCUAGCAAUGUGUCCCAUUUAUUUUAUACUUCUUAGAUGUUCGCCUUAAACUGGUGCACAUAAUUUUCAGCAGGGCAACUUCUUAGCUCAACUGAUGGGUGGAUGUCCUUUCUUACAGUCGUGCAUGCUCUAACCAUUUGUUCUUUCUUGUCGUGAUGGAAGAUGUAACACCAUUUACUUGCUAGUGACAAUGGCACGUCCACAAGUUGAUACAAGAUGUUCUGAUGAUCGGUUUUGUUCAUAGCAUGUUUGACACAUUUCGUGGAUAUGGAAGUUGAGGUCAGCUCGGUGAUCGAAGGUAUUUGGUCUCUUCCUUAUUAUCUUGUAGUAGUCAAGUGAUCGAACAAUUGGGUCUCUUAGGAGCUUAGCCGUCAUAUUUUGUAAUAGACAACGUCUUGUAUGUUGACUUACUUAUUUCCUUAUUGGUUGUAGCUGACUUGAGUGUAGCAAAUAAUGAAUCUUGUAUAUAUGCUUGAAUGAAUGUAUUAAUCAAUGGUAUCUUGUGAUGAA